AAGGUUAUACCUCAAAUUUCUUUAUUAAUUUUUAAUAAAUAAUUUAUAUUAAAUAUAAAAAUAUAUUUAUGAAAAAAAAAGACGACAAGACCCUAUUAAAUUUUACUUAUAGUUUAGCUGGGGAAGCUUUUCAAUUAAAAUUUUUUAAAAUCUUAAAAUAAAUAUCUAAUUUAAAUUAAAAUUUAAAUAAAUUACUAUAGGGAUAACAGCAUUAUAUUUUUUAAAAGUUCAUAUUAAAAAAAAUGAUUGUGACCUCGAUGUUGAAUUAUAUUUUCUAUAUUUAAUGCAAUAAUUAUAAAAGUAGAUCUGUUCGAUCUUUAAAAUAUUACAUGAUUUGAGUUCAAACCGGUGUAAACCAGGUUGGUUUCUAUCUUUUUAUAUAUUUUUCCAGUACGAAAGGACAAAAAAAUUUUUAUUUUAAUAAAUUAGCAAAUAUAAUGCAUUAGAUUUAGAAUCUAAAUAUAUUUAAAUU
rnacentral:misc_RNA from 1 species